ACAGGAGGACAAGGACUCAGGGGUCUGCUGGUCCAUCUCUGCACCUUGAAACAGCAGCUGGGGCACCAGAAGUAACCCUUACAGCCAACACCAUGUGAUGAUGAGGAGGAGUCCAUCUGGGUUAAAGAGCCCACGUGUGAGCCAAGGCAGGAAACCCCGGGAUCCAGAAAGCCUUCUGUUUUUGCGAUGCUGCCUGGGAUCGGAGCCGCACAACCUGUCCUCAUUGCUCUCUCCGGAGGCCGGGCAGGAACCUCUGCCAAAGCUUCUACCUCAGCCGCUGGCAGGCCAUGCGGCCUGGGGCAUUCACGGAGUUCCAACGAGUCUGUUACUGGCUGGGGAGUGCUGGGGCCAGGGCAUGGCCGUGCCCGCUGAUCCUCCUCCUGCCUCUCCAUAUCGGACUUCUCCUCGACCACCACCUGGACCACUGCCACGAUAUCGUCCACAGCAGCACCUUCUCCUCCCCCUAGGGCGCCUCCACGCUCUGUGCCCUGGCUGUCCUCUCCAGCAGAGCCUCCAAUUUGAACGGGGUACACUGUCCGCUCCACGUCUGUGGUCAUGGAUGAAGCUGGAAACCAUCAUACUAAGCAAACUAUCACAAGGACAGAAAACCAAACACCGCAUGUUCUCACUGAUAAGUGAGAGUUGAACAAUGAGAACACAUGGACACAGGGCAGGGAACAUCACCCACCGAGGCCGGUCGCGGGGGUGGGGGGUUGAGGGAGGGAUAGCAUUUGGAGAAAUACCUAAUGUAAAUGACGAGUUGAUAGGGGCAGCAAACAAACAUGGAACAUGUAUCCCUAUGUUACAAACCUGCACGUUGUGUACAUGUACCCUAGAACUUACAGGAUAAUAAAACAAAAAAAAAAAAAAAGAAAAAA
ensembl:lncRNA PRORY PRORY Y-linked lncRNA